rnacentral:tRNA from 1 species
UCCCUGGUGGUCCAGUGGUUAAAACUCUUGUGUUUCCAAUACAGAGGGCUAAGGUUUGAUCCCUGGUCAGGGAA